GAUGAACGCUGGCGGCGUGCCUAAUACAUGCAAGUCGAGCGAACAGAUGAGAAGCUUGCUUCUCUGAUGUUAGCGGCGGACGGGUGGGUAACACGUGGGUAACCUACCUAUAAGACUGGGAUAACUCCGGGAAACCGGGGCUAAUACCGGAUAAUAUUUUGAACCGCAUGGUUCAAUAGUGAAAGACGGUUUCGGCUGUCACUCAUAGAUGGACUCGCGCAGGAUUAGCUAGUUGGUAAGGUAACGGCUUACCAAGGCGACGAUACGUAGCCGACCUGAGAGGGUGGUCGGCCACACUGGAACUGAGACACGGUCCAGACUCCUACGGGAGGCAGCAGUAGGGAAUCUUCCGCAAUGGGCGAAAGCCUGACGGAGCAACGCCGCGUGAGUGAUGAAGGUCUUCGGAUCGUAAAACUCUGUUGUUAGGGAAGAACAAAUUUGUUAGUAACUGAACAAGUCUUGACGGUACCUAACCAGAAAGCCACGGCUAACUACGUGCCAGCAGCCGCGGUAA
rnacentral:rRNA from 1 species